rnacentral:rRNA from 1 species
AUUGAACGCUGGCGGCAUGCCUUACACAUGCAAGUCGAACGGUAACAGGCCGCAAGGUGCUGACGAGUGGCGAACGGGUGAGUAAUGCAUCGGAACGUGCCCAGUAGUGGGGGAUAGCCCGGCGAAAGCCGGAUUAAUACCGCAUACGACCUACGGGUGAAAGCGGGGGACCGUAAGGCCUCGCGCUAUUGGAGCGGCCGAUGUCAGAGUAGGUAGUUGGUGGGGUAAAGGCCUACCAAGCCUGCGAUCUGUAGCUGGUCUGAGAGGACGACCAGCCACACUGGGACUGAGACACGGCCCAGACUCCUACGGGAGGCAGCAGUGGGGAAUUUUGGACAAUGGGCGCAAGCCUGAUUCAGCCAUGCCGCGUGCGGGAAGAAGGCCUUCGGGUUGUAAACCGCUUUUGUCAGGGAAGAAAUCUUCUGGGUUAAUACCUCGGGAGGAUGACGGUACCUGAAGAAUAAGCACCGGCUAACUACGUGCCAGCCGCCGCCGUAAGAC